UACGUAGGGGGCAAGCGUUACUCGGAAUCACUGGGCGUAAAGCGCAGGUAGGCGGUUUAGUAAGUCUUUUGUGAAAGCUCCCGGCUCAACUGGGAGAGGUCAAAGGAAACUACUAGGCUAGAGUUUGGUAGGGGAUACUGGAAUUCCUGGUGUAGCGGUGAAAUGCGUAGAUAUCAGGAGGAAUACCUAUGGCGAAAGCAGGUAUCUGGGCCACAACUGACGCUGAGCUGCGAAAGCUAGGGGAGCAAACAGG
rnacentral:rRNA from 1 species